rnacentral:rRNA from 1 species
UACAGAGGGGGCAAGCGUUGUUCGGAAUUACUGGGCGUAAAGGGCGCGUAGGCGGCCUGUUAAGUCGAACGUGAAAUCCCCGGGCUCAACCCGGGAACUGCGUCCGAUACUGGCAGGCUUGAAUUCGGGAGAGGGAUGUGGAAUUCCAGGUGUAGCGGUGAAAUGCGUAGAUAUCUGGAGGAACACCGGUGGCGAAGGCGGCAUCCUGGACCGAUAUUGACGCUGAUGCGCGAAAGCCAGGGGAGCAAACGGGG